rnacentral:lncRNA from 1 species
GGUAGCCAUAAAAUAAUGAACAUAUCGUGUAUCACAGCAUCAGUAUCAACACAAAGAAAAUUAAGACAUUUAAGUGUAAAGAUGUAAUAAAAUAAACAAUUGUUACUGCUUCAUUAAGAAUCAUCAUAAAAAAAUAAAAAAUACAAGUAAAACUGAAUGUGUAGUGGGAAGGAAUAUGACUAUUUUAACGACUAGUACAGUUUGGUGCCACUAUCUUAAUAUUCAUGUUAAAACACCAGCAAAAACCAUUAUUCUAAGCUGAGAGCUUUUGCUCUUUGUAAUUCUGGGUUUUGUCCUACCCUCCUUCUUAUUCCCCAUAUGAAGUAGGUGAGGAAAGAAGGAAAACCAUGCUUAAGAGCACCUGUUCCAGAGACAAGAGUUCAAAUCCCAGCUCUACCACUAAAUGGCUUUUCUGAGAGGAUAAAAUUACACUAACGAGCCAUUCUGUUGAGUAGAAAUUGAAGCUUCCUGGAGCUUCUCAAUGAUAAGCUCUAACAGUGAAUGUCACAAUACUAUAAUUGUCUUGGGUGAUGUAAAGAUAUAAGGGCCAGUUACACAUAAGACCAAUUGUUCCUCUCUUUGCUCUGAUCUGUUUGGCCCAUUCUAUAUCAUGUAUAUAUCUGGGUCACAUG